AUGGUAGUGCUUGCCACAGGAUUGAUAGGAUGGGGUAUAAUAUCACUUCUAGUGAGGAAGUUUGGAGGUAAUGCUCGACCUCACCGCAAGCCACCUCGUUAUUCACUGCUUGAUGGCCAUGAGGAAAGCAUUAAACAUAAGUGGGGCCUAAUUCCAGUUAAGAGUCGCAAUUCUGGUAGUCUACUUGAAUCAGCCUCAGAGAGUGACAGUGAUGCAGAAAUUCUCUUUGACUCCAGGAAGAUGAAGCACAAAGCUGAUAAACAAAGAAAUGGGUAUCAUAAAUUAUCAAGAAUUCGUACUUAGCCUAGCAAUUUAUAAUGAACAUACUUUCCUAAUGAUUCUUUCUGGGUUAAAUAUGCAAGACAAUAUUGAAAUCUCAGAAGUUUAAUUUAUUUUAUGGUGACAAGUACAGUCCUUCUCAUUCAUUUUUUGUUCCAAAGUUAGUACCAUACACUAUUCUGGUUGUCACUGGCUUUGUUGUCUACUGCACAUAAUUUCUCCCUUUCUGUAAUCAUGUUUUCAUAUUAAAAGCACAUUAAAACAGUGUGCUGUAUUUCACUUUGUAAAAUUAAUGAAUAUAUAUGAUGGAUUUACAGCAAUUAAAGGUUUGAUUGAAGGUGUUGGGAUGCAAAGCCUUAUUGUCUUUUAAAUUAUUUUGUCCUCAGAAUUGUGGGGAAUACUUAAUUUAUUUGCUGUCAAAAUUAUAUUGAUGAUUUUUUCAGGUAUGAUUAAAUCCAUAUGAUUAUUACAUGAUUCGGCUAUUACACAUGUUAAUAGAGUACAGUACUGUAUUCUGACUUACUCUAUUGUAGCUCGAAGCUUUUAGUCUGUAAAUUCUUUCUCAAUUCAUUGCUAAUUUUAGAGAUAUAUAAAUAAAUCAAAGAAUUGUAUAUACUGUAAUUAUAUAUUUAUUCAUUGCUAUGGUGGUUUUUGCAAAGAUGAAAUGAAUGUUGUGGAUCUUAAGGUUUUGAAUGUUCACAUCAUGUGAUAGUUGGAGCACCUAGUAACUGAAUAGAGUUUUGGGGCAUUUACAGAGAGAGAAGCUGGAAGCACUUGAUGACUAGGUGAGAGUUUAGAGCAGUAUCACGUUUUGUGUAAGGGUUUGAAAGAAAAUAUGGUUUGGUUAGGACUGUGCAUUCUGUGGUUGGGUGCAAAUUCAGGUUUCACUGGCACUUUGCAAAAAAUUUUGGUUCAAAAUUUUUAUAGCAUUUUCAUGAUGUAUACCUUGGUGUAAUCACAUAAUAUACAGUAUUGUACAUUAAAAUA